GCCGCCGCGCUCGCCUGACCUGCGUGCCCCGCUGGCCGCGCCGGGCUGCCCCGAAGGAUGUCCGCCCAGUCCAAGGGGACCGCAUCCUCCUCCUCCUCGCCGUCCGAGGGGCCGCUGGCAGCCUCCAAAACCAAGGUGAAGGAGCAGAUCAAGAUCAUCGUGGAGGAUUUGGAAUUAGUCCUGGGGGACCUGAAAGAUGUCGCCAAGGAACUUAAGGAGGUGGUUGACCAGAUUGACACACUGACAUGUGAUCUGCAGCUGGAGGAUGAGAUGACAGACAGCUCCAAAACAGACACCCUGAACAGCAGCUCCAGCAGCACGACGGCCUCCAGCCUGGAGAAGGUGAAGGUGCGUGGCAGCGCGCCGCUCAUCAAGCCGCCCGCGCACCCGUCCGCCAUCCUCACCGUGCUGCGCAAGCCCAACCCGCCGCCUCCUCCGCCUCGCCUGACGCCCGUCAGGUGCGAUGAGCCCCCCAGGCCGCCUCCCUUGGCCAACCCGCUCAAGACCAAUGGCACCCUGCUGCGGAACGGGGGCCUGCCCGCGGCGCCGGGCCGCGUCCCCAACGGGGAUGUGUGCUGUGUGCCCGGCAGCGGCCUGGAGAAGGCGGUGAUGCCGCCCCUGGCACACAGGGCCGAGAAGGAGCGGUGUGCCCAGGCCGGAGCCAGGGAGCGAGUGCGGUUCAGCGAGAAGGUGCAGUACCACGGGUACUGCCCCGACUGUGACGUUCGCUACAACAUCAAAAACAGAGAGGUGCACUUGCACAGCGAGCCCGCCCGGGCUGCGGGAAAGCUGCCACACCAGUGCCCUCCUCUGCCGCCUCCUCCGCCUCCACUGCCUCCGUUUCUUCUGGAAAAUGGAGGGUUGGGGAUAAGUCCCAGUAAUAGCUUUCCUCCUCCAAGACCUGCAACUGUGCCUCCACAAACUGCGCCAAAACCCCAGAAGACCAUCUUGAGGAAAUCAACCACUACAACAGUGUGAAGUAUGCCCCUUGUAAUAACUCUUUGUUUUUUCCUAUAUAUAAACAUAAAUAGGUAAUGAGCACUUUCUACUUGAGCAAUAAAAAGACCCAAUGUAUUACACCCUGUGUCCAGUGAAGUGGCAUAAAAAUCACAUGCACCUUCAGGCUUGAAGGAAUAUCUAUAUUUGGAGGCACGUCAAUUAAUUUGCGUAUCAGAUUCAUCAUUGUGACUUCUUGCAGGCCAGAUCUGAGAAGUAACCAGGAAACCUGACCCUUAGUGGAGAAUGGAAGAACCCUUGAAGUCAGAGCACAACUGAGCACUAGUGUAAUCUGCAUUGAAUCAUCUCUCUCAGAUCUGACAGCUACAAGCUGAGUCCUGGCAGCAGCCACAGCCUUAAAUUCCAUUGAGUGGGAAAGAAGGAUAAGAGAGCUCAAUGUUUUGCCCCGUUGCAGAAACUGCUGUUUCCAGGCCUAACACCUGAGUCCUGUGCUGAGCAAGGAGAGUACCAAACAAGGAGUUUUUCAUGGGUACAGCCAGCAUCAACAAAUAUUUCAAUAUGUAGCCAAAAGGGAAAAGGAAGCACUUAAGUAAUAUCAGAAAAUGGAUGCAUUUAUUGUAACAGAGAAAUGUUACUGUCCGUGGGGAAGAAGACCUCUGUCGUCCCUUGUAUAUAUUCAAAGCCAUACAGGAACAGGGCAUAAGUGAAGUCACUUAAAAGGAUGCUGUCUCCUGUCCUCCACCCGACUUUGAGGAAGUUCUGCUCUUAGAGAUUGCAUCUCGAUGCACUUCUGUUAUUUGCACUGUCACUUCCAUUCAGGGUAAUGAUGUGUGCCACCAUUUGCACAGAUGACCCCAGGAGAUUUUUGACCACAACAAGCUAUACUUUGCCAGGGCUCCAAAUGGAAUUAAAAAGUUAGAACUGAAGAAAGACAUUUAUGCUCUCUUUCACUAUGGGGAUCUCUUCACAGAAAGGAUUAUGGUCCUUUCUUAGGAUGAAAUAAAUACAUGCAUAUACAUACAUAUAUACAUAUGUAUAUAUAUGAAAAAGCAGCAACAUGAUAGGGUGUAUUUAAAAAGGGGAUAUAAUCUUUUUUAAUAGCAUCCAUUUUUUUUAUCAUAUUAGCAGCUGAGAAGUUUAAGCUAUUGAAUUAUACAUCAAAAAAUGUUCCUGUUGAACAUUGACAUUUAGUCCCAGUUACUGCUAAAGAAGUCAUUUGUAAUAUGUACUUGACAUAAAAUUUUUCUAGCCAUUUGUCUAUACUUCAUGGAGAAAUCUAACAGACAAGCAACAUUUUCAGUUUAUUUUUCUAAAUAAAUGUGUUGUUUGUAUUAUUUGCAGUCACUCAUUUUGGCUGGUUUUCAUUAUCUCCAAAAGUGAUUUAAAGACAGAACCAAAACACAGGGAUUGUUUGUUCUUGUUAAGCUGUAAUGAUUUGCUGAAUGAAAGCUUUAAUAUAAAUACUGUAAUUUGUAAAAUGAUGAAGUAUAUUUAUAUAGGCAAAUAUGUAUGGAAAACAAAAGGAGGUAUUUUAACUCUUAAUUUCAGAACAUAGUUUAUUUUAAUAUCCACAGGAAGAAAUUAAAUAUAUAAUGGGAUAGGGUUUUUAUUAUCAAUGAGUUUUACUAAGUGAAAAUUUGGAUGUUUAAGAAUGAAAUGAAUGUAGUCAAAUAAUGGUGGUUUCCCAAAUUAUACAAAGACCUUUUGCCAGUUGUCUCAUUUUACUCAAAAACUGAUUUAAUCAUCGGGGGGUUGGGUUUUUCUGGGGGGGUGUGUGUGCUAAGGUUUUUGUUUGGUGUUUUCUUUGUUUUGGCAUACUGACAGGACCAUGAAUUUGAUACUAUUUGCUCAUAAUUUGAAAAGCUACAGAAUAAAAGAUUGUUUAUUAGAACAAUCUACAGUUUGCAGUUAAGAACAUUCAUUGUUAUCAAACUUACGCAGUGUUUUGUUGUAGAGUUAUUGAACAUUUCAAUGCUAGAGCUGUUUUGAAUAAAUUUUUUUUCCUUUUUUUCUUA